AGUGAGCGCUGGCGGUAGGCCUAACACAUGCAAGUCGAACGGCAGCACAGUAAGAGCUUGCUCUUACGGGUGGCGAGUGGCGGACGGGUGAGGAAUACAUCGGAAUCUACUUUUUCGUGGGGGAUAACGUAGGGAAACUUACGCUAAUACCGCAUACGACCUACGGGUGAAAGCAGUGGAUCUUCGGACCUUGCGCGAUUGAAUGAGCCGAUGUCGGAUUAGCUAGUUGGCGGGGUAAAGGCCCACCAAGGCGACGAUCCGUAGCUGGUCUGAGAGGAUGAUCAGCCACACUGGAACUGAGACACGGUCCAGACUCCUACGGGAGGCAGCAGUGGGGAAUAUUGGACAAUGGGCGCAAGCCUGAUCCAGCCAUACCGCGUGGGUGAAGAAGGCCUUCGGGUUGUAAAGCCCUUUUGUUGGGAAAGAAAAGCAGCAGGUUAAUACCCCGCUGUUCUGACGGUACCCAAAGAAUAAGCACCGGCUAACUUCGUG
rnacentral:rRNA from 1 species